AACGAACGCUGGCGGCAGGCCUAACACAUGCAAGUCGAACGCCCUAGCAAUAGGGAGUGGCAGACGGGUGAGUAACACGUGGGAACCUUCCCUAUAGUACGGAAUAUACCAGGGAACUUGGAGCAAUACCGUAUACGCCCGAGAGGGGAAAGAUUUAUCGCUAUAGGAUGGGCCCGCGUAGGAUUAGCUAGUUGGUGAGGUAAUGGCUCACCAAGGCGACGAUCCUUAGCUGGUUUGAGAGAACGACCAGCCACACUGGGACUGAGACACGGCCCAGACUCCUACGGGAGGCAGCAGUGGGGAAUAUUGGACAAUGGGCGCAAGCCUGAUCCAGCCAUGCCGCGUGAGUGAUGAAGGCCUUAGGGUUGUAAAGCUCUUUUUGCCGGGGACGAUAAUGACGGUACCCGGAGAAUAAGUCCCGGCUAACUUCGUGCCAGCCGCCGCCGUAAC
rnacentral:rRNA from 1 species